rnacentral:misc_RNA from 1 species
GAGGUAUUUCCCAGACGACUUCCAAAUUCUUCCUUCGAGAGAUACCACCAUAACUGUAACAUCAUCGUGGUACUUCCUACGAUCUCCUUGGGGGAUGUCCAGUAAUUCAUGAAAAUCCAUUCCAGCUUUUUUGGCUGCACGAAAUAAGAGCUCCUCAAUCAGAUGCUGAGCAGGAUCCCCAUCCGGAAAUUUCUCCAUGAAAUUCUCA